AUGGGUCUGAAUGAAGAAAUUCGAGUGCUAACACUCCAACGUACUGGACUUGCAAAGUUCUUGGAGCCACCCCUACCGCAGAAGGGCCAGAGGGUAUUCGUGACCCCAGAGGGAACUAUCUUCACAUCGUGGGAAUGCGACGGCUCUGUGUUGAGAGUCAUCCAGGGUUUCUCCCACAGGAGGCCCCUUUCAGGUGCCCAGUCAGUGCCCCCAACAGAGAAUGGAUACAAAUCGAAAGACAAUGUGUCACAGGGUGGGAGCAAGACAAGUCCCAGGUCGUGUCUAGGACCCCUCAGGCCACACAGAUCUCUUGGGUAAAAUUGUUGUACAGCAAAUCAUGACACUCUAUGGUGUCCCUUAGGUAAAGACUUUGUGGACACAUCUCUUGAGUUUCACGCUAGGAGAUAAUUUUGCUUCCCAUUUAGCUGGUCUACAUUCUUCUCCUAGGUAAGAAAUGCUUCAUUUUCUACUGUUUUCCCUUUUGCCCUCGCCGUGAGGAGGUGCUCUGUCUGUUCAAUUGCUAUGAUUUCCUCUGCCAGGGUUUCUUAAUAAAAUUCUUACCCUACUUCACCCAAUCUCAGUCAUUCUAUGUUUGCUGUUUUUGUGCUUGGACGCGUGUUGUAAACUGCCU
rnacentral:lncRNA from 1 species